GGUGGAUAGAAGUUCAGUACAGAAAACGAGUACACCCAAAGCCUUCUACAAAUUUCAUUUUGUGCUUUCCAUUUGGCAUUUUCCACAUAUAUUGUGAGAGAAUGUUCUGUUAGGUUUUGAGACCAUGGACUAGACUGUUCACUUCCAACCUCCACCACUACUACGACGACGGAGGACAAUCUUAACCUUCCUGUACCAUUACCACCAUUACCAGACCAUUAUCAGAUCUGAAGAGUGGAGAAUAGCACCUGCUUCUAAUUCUCUCAUGUUUAAGACCUAUGCAAAGUUGAUGGAUUUGGUCCUGAGAUUCUUGCUAAUAGGGACUAUGGUUGUGCAAUGUCUACACUGAUGCACUCUCUGCAGAUAAGGUAAUCUUUGGUGA